rnacentral:rRNA from 1 species
UACGUAGGGGCCUAGCGUUGUCCGGAUUUAUUGGGCGUAAAGAGCUCGUAGGCGGUUUGGUUAGUCAGGUGUGAAAUCUCCACGCUCAACGUGGAGGGGCCACCUGAUACUGCCAUGACUUGAGUCCGGUAGGGGAGUGUGGAAUUCCCGGUGUAGAGGUGAAAUUCGUAGAUAUUAGGAAGAACACCAGUGGCGAAGGCGGCUCACUGGCUCGGUACUGACGCUGAGGCGCGAAAGCGUGGGGAGCAAACAGG